rnacentral:rRNA from 1 species
AGAGUUUGAUCAUGGCUCAGGAUGAACGCUGGCGGCGUGCCUAACACAUGCAAGUCGAGCGAUUCUCUUCGGAGAAGAGCGGCGGACGGGUGAGUAACGCGUGGGUAACCUGCCCUGUACACACGGAUAACAUACCGAAAGGUAUGCUAAUACGAGAUAAUAUACUUUUAUCGCAUGGUAGAAGUAUCAAAGCUUUUGCGGUACAGGAUGGACCCGCGUCUGAUUAGCUAGUUGGUAAGGUAACGGCUUACCAAGGCGACGAUCAGUAGCCGACCUGAGAGGGUGAUCGGCCACAUUGGAACUGAGACACGGUCCAAACUCCUACGGGAGGCAGCAGUGGGGAAUAUUGCACAAUGGGCGAAAGCCUGAUGCAGCAACGCCGCGUGAGCGAUGAAGGCCUUCGGGUCGUAAAGCUCUGUCCUCAAGGAAGAUAAUGACGGUACUUGAGGAGGAAGCCCCGGCUAACUACGUGCCAGCAGCCGCGGUAAUACGUAGGGGGCUAGCGUUAUCCGGAAUUACUGGGCGUAAAGGGUGCGUAGGUGGUUUCUUAAGUCAGAGGUGAAAGGCUACGGCUCAACCGUAGUAAGCCUUUGAAACUGGGAAACUUGAGUGCAGGAGAGGAGAGUGGAAUUCCUAGUGUAGCGGUGAAAUGCGUAGAUAUUAGGAGGAACACCAGUUGCGAAGGCGGCUCUCUGGACUGUAACUGACACUGAGGCACGAAAGCGUGGGGAGCAAACAGGAUUAGAUACCCUGGUAGUCCACGCCGUAAACGAUGAGUACUAGCUGUCGGAGGUUACCCCCUUCGGUGGCGCAGCUAACGCAUUAAGUACUCCGCCUGGGAAGUACGCUCGCAAGAGUGAAACUCAAAGGAAUUGACGG